rnacentral:rRNA from 1 species
UACGUAGGGUGCGAGCGUUGUCCGGAAUUAUUGGGCGUAAAGAGCUCGUAGGCGGCUUGUCACGUCGGGUGUGAAAGCCCGGGGCUUAACCCCGGGUCUGCAUUCGAUACGGGCUGGCUAGAGUGUGGUAGGAGAGAUCGGAAUUCCUGGUGUAGCGGUGAAAUGCGCAGAUAUCAGGAGGAACACCGGUGGCGAAGGCGGAUCUCUGGGCCAUUACUGACGCUGAGGAGCGAAAGCGUGGGGAGCGAACAGG